GCUGGGUAUGGUGGCCCAUGCCUAUAACCCCAGCAGCUUGGGAGGCUGAGACAGGAGGAUCACGAGUUCAGAGUCAGCCUCAGCAACAGUGAGGGGCUAAGCAACUCAGUGAGACCCUGACUCUA
rnacentral:sRNA from 1 species